CAUGUUCAACUGUGAUAAUUAGUUAGGUCGUCCAUUUUGCGAAUCCUAUAUUUUGCGCAACUUUUGAAUGGUAGUUGAAGGUGUGACCUGAAGAGAGGAUGUUGAAUAAUGCUCUACCAAUUAAUAUCAACCAUCUAACUUCCACAUAGAGGAUACCAUCACCCUCCAGAAGUAUUCUCCCUCCAUCUUAGGUCACCAAUGGAUCCACCGCCACCGCCGCCACCACCCACAGCUCCACUGCUCGGUCCAGAAAGCCAUGGUGGAGGAUGCUGGGAUUCAUGUUUGUGGUUCCUGUGCUGCUGUGGCCUCUUUUCAUACUGUUGCCCUCCACUGUUUGAGCCUGUGCCUCCUCCUCCCUAAAGCUGCGUUUCUUUAGAUAUAAUUCUUUGGUUCGUCAGAAGAAACCAGAAUACGUAGUUCAUUGACACCUUUAUCUUCUGAUUUUUUUCCCGAAAAAUGUUGUGAUAACAAGAUUUCUUUUGU